AGCGAACGCUGGCGGCAGGCCUAACACAUGCAAGUCGAACGAACCUUUCGGGGUUAGUGGCGGACGGGUGAGUAACACGUGGGAACGUGCCUUUAGGUUCGGAAUAACUCAGGGAAACUUGUGCUAAUACCGAAUGUGCCCUUCGGGGGAAAGAUUUAUCGCCUUUAGAGCGGCCCGCGUCUGAUUAGCUAGUUGGUUGAGGUAAUGGCUCACCAAGGCGACGAUCAGUAGCUGGUCUGAGAGGAUGAUCAGCCACAUUGGGACUGAGACACGGCCCAAACUCCUACGGGAGGCAGCAGUGGGGAAUCUUGCGCAAUGGGCGAAAGCCUGACGCAGCCAUGCCGCGUGAAUGAUGAAGGUCUUAGGAUUGUAAAAUUCUUUAACCGGGGACGAUAAUGACGUUACCCGGAGAAGAAGCCCCGGCUAACUUCGUG
rnacentral:rRNA from 1 species